ACUUUGUAACUUUAUUUUAUUCUCUUCAUUUACAUAGAUUGUACAACAAAUAAUGAAUGGAAAACUCUAAAGGGUAUUUAAACCCCAGAAAACGGAUUAAUGAAGCCACUGCUUAGUUAAAGACCAUCAAGCUUCAGAUGAUCAUGCAACAAGUGUUCCAGCCAGUUCCGGGUGAAGUCACCACCUGUGGCCAUCAAGGAACUACCCUGACUCCACUAGACAGGGCAGGGCAAGAGUUUCAUGAUCCCCAAUAGCUUUCUCUCCCCUUUUAAAAGGGCUGAAACAAUAACUCUAUACUUCAACUCAUUUUCAGCUCUGAGUCAAGAAAACUUUUCUUUUGAGCUGUUGACAGCUUGUAGCAACAAUAUUUGGAGCAUAUUUAUUUCUCUCUACCUGAUUUCUCCAGAAUUUUGAAACUAUU
rnacentral:lncRNA from 1 species